UACGUAGGGGGCGAGCGUUGUCCGGAUUUAUUGGGCGUAAAGAGCGUGUAGGCGGCCAGGUAGGUGGGUUGUGAAAACUGGAGGCUCAACCUUCAGACGUCGACCCAAACCCCCCUGGCUAGAGUCCGGAAGAGGAGACUGGAAUUUACGGUGUAGCGGUGAAAUGCGUAGAUAUCGUAAGGAAGACCAGUGGCGAAGGCGGGUCUCUGGACAGUUCCUGACGCUGAGGCACGAAGGUCAGGGGAGCAAACGGG
rnacentral:rRNA from 1 species